rnacentral:sRNA from 1 species
UCAUCUGAGAAAGUGUUUGCCACACAAA